AGAGUUUGAUCCUGGCUCAGGACGAACGCUGGCGGCGUGCCUAACACAUGCAAGUCGAACGGAACUGUUUUGAAAGAUUUCUUCGGAAUGAAUUUGAUUUAGUUUAGUGGCGGACGGGUGAGUAACGCGUGAGUAACCUGCCUUCAAGAGGGGGAUAACAUUCUGAAAAGAAUGCUAAUACCGCAUGAUAUAUCGGAACCACAUGGUUCUGAUAUCAAAGAUUUUAUCGCUUGAAGAUGGACUCGCGUCCGAUUAGUUAGUUGGUGAGGUAACGGCUCACCAAGACCGCGAUCGGUAGCCGGACUGAGAGGUUGAACGGCCACAUUGGGACUGAGACACGGCCCAGACUCCUACGGGAGGCAGCAGUGGGGGAUAUUGCGCAAUGGGGGCAACCCUGACGCAGCAACGCCGCGUGAAGGAUGAAGGUUUUCGGAUUGUAAACUUCUUUUAUUAAGGACGAAAAAUGACGGUACUUAAUGAAUAAGCUCCGGCUAACUACGUGCCAGCAGCCGCGGUAAUACGUAGGGAGCAAGCGUUGUCCGGAUUUACUGGGUGUAAAGGGUGCGUAGGCGGCUUUGCAAGUCAGAUGUGAAAUCUAUGGGCUCAACCCAUAAACUGCAUUUGAAACUGUAGAGCUUGAGUGAAGUAGAGGCAGGCGGAAUUCCCCGUGUAGCGGUGAAAUGCGUAGAGAUGGGGAGGAACACCAGUGGCGAAGGCGGCCUGCUGGGCUUUAACUGACGCUGAGGCACGAAAGCGUGGGUAGCAAACAGGAUUAGAUACCCUGGUAGUCCACGCUGUAAACGAUGAUUACUAGGUGUGGGGGGUCUGACCCCUUCCGUGCCGGAGUUAACACAAUAAGUAAUCCACCUGGGGA
rnacentral:rRNA from 1 species